UUGAUCACUUGGGAGCGGAUUUUACUCUUUGGGGCACUAUCGACAGGGUGUGAGAAGUAA
rnacentral:misc_RNA from 1 species